GACGAACGCUGGCGGCGUGCUUAACACAUGCAAGUCGAGCGGAAAGGCCCCCUUGUGGGGUACUCGAGUGGCGAACGGGUGAGUAACACGUGAGUAACCUACCCUUGACUUUGGGAUAACUUCAGGAAACUGGGGCUAAUACCGGAUAGGAGCUCCUGCUGCAUGGUGGGGGUUGGAAAGUUUCGGCGGUUGGGGAUGGACUCGCGGCUUAUCAGCUUGUUGGUGGGGUAGUGGCUCACCAAGGCUUUGACGGGUAGCCGGCCUGAGAGGGUGACCGGCCACAUUGGGACUGAGAUACGGCCCAGACUCCUACGGGAGGCAGCAGUGGGGAAUAUUGCACAAUGGGCGGAAGCCUGAUGCAGCAACGCCGCGUGCGGGAUGACGGCCUUCGGGUUGUAAACCGCUUUCGCCUGUGACGAAGCGUGAGUGACGGUAAUGGGUAAAGAAGCACCGGCUAACUACGUG
rnacentral:rRNA from 1 species